rnacentral:rRNA from 1 species
UACGGGGGAUGCAAGCGUUAUCCGGAUUUAUUGGGUUUAAAGGGUGCGCAGGCGGAGGCACAAGUCAGCGGUAAAAUCGCGGGGCUCAACCCCGCUCCGCCGUUGAAACUGGCAGUCUCGAGUUGGAGAGAAGUAUGCGGAAUGCGCGGUGUAGCGGUGAAAUGCAUAGAUAUCGCGCAGAACUCCGAUUGCGAAGGCAGCGUACCGGCGCCGGACUGACGCUGAGGCACGAAAGCGUGGGUAUCGAACAGG